rnacentral:lncRNA from 1 species
CAGCCCCACAACGGUUACUAUGGUUACUAUGACCCACCAAGUGACAUAACAGCUUCUGGGGUCAGAGAGUCUCAACACUGACACACACAGAAUGUGAUUUUUACAGAGUCGCCAAAAAGCCUCUGCAAGCAGGUGUUGUCCGGCACAGAAUCAAGAAGGAACCUGAGGUUCUGGGCACUGAAUUCAGGUCCAUGAGCUUGGCCGGCAAGCACUUCCUGCCUCAGCAUUCCCCGGUGGUGCUAUGGAGUCUUUAAAGAGGUAGUGAUGCCAUCAGCAGAGGCCCUACAUCAGCAGUGCUAGUGUCCAUGCAAGAAGAGGACACAGGGGCACACAUGCUCACACUGGUGAGUCUAUGGGAAGGCACGAGGAGAGGACAGCCAUCUAGACACCAAGGAGAGUGAGCAGGAAGACCCCACUGACAGCUGGAUCUCAGACUUCUGAUCUCCAAGUUUUGGAGAAAAUAAAAUUCUAUUGUUGAAGUGCUGAAGC